UCGUAACAAGGUUUCCGUAGGUGAACCUGCGGAAGGAUCAUUACCGAGUGAGGGCCCUCUGGGUCCAACCUCCCACCCGUGUUUAUUUUACCUUGUUGCUUCGGCGGGCCCGCCUUCACUGGCCGCCGGGGGGCUCACGCCCCCGGGCCCGCGCCCGCCGAAGACACCCUCGAACUCUGUCUGAAGAUUGAAGUCUGAGUGAAAAUAUAAAUUAUUUAAAACUUUCAACAACGGAUCUCUUGGUUCCGGCAUCGAUGAAGAACGCAGCGAAAUGCGAUACGUAAUGUGAAUUGCAAAUUCAGUGAAUCAUCGAGUCUUUGAACGCACAUUGCGCCCCCUGGUAUUCCGGGGGGCAUGCCUGUCCGAGCGUCAUUGCUGCCCUCAAGCCCGGCUUGUGUGUUGGGCCCCGUCCUCCGAUUCCGGGGGACGGGCCCGAAAGGCAGCGGCGGCACCGCGUCCGGUCCUCGAGCGUAUGGGGCUUUGUCACCCGCUCUGUAGGCCCGGCCGGCGCUUGCCGAUCAACCCAAAUUUUUAUCCAGGUUGACCUCGGAUCAGGUAGGGAUACCCGCUGAACCUAAGCAUAUCA
rnacentral:misc_RNA from 1 species